rnacentral:tRNA from 1 species
GCCCUGUUGGCUCAGUUGGUUAGAGCGCAGGUCUCAUACUUCUGUAUGACGAAUGUCCGCAUUCGGUAAUCCUGAGGUCGCAAGUUCGAGUCUUGCACAGGGCA